rnacentral:snRNA from 1 species
CUGGUUUCUCUUCAGAUCAUAUAAAUUUUUUUGCCUUUUACUAAAGAUCUCCAUGGAGAGGAGUAGCAGAAG